AGGAUGGUCUGCCACACGCCUCCGAACACUUUCAAGCCUGGCCCCACUCCCUACGUGGUGGGGGAUCAGUUCCAACAGCCCAUGUCUGAGGUGCUGUGCCCCCUACUCUCGUGGUCAUGGAAGGAAUAGAGCAGCAGGGCAAGACUGCCAUCAACUUGAUGAUGCAAUUCCUCUGGCAGCUGACAACAACAAAGGGCAAAACAACCUCUGCCAAUGAAGGAGCGUAAAA
rnacentral:lncRNA from 1 species